rnacentral:rRNA from 1 species
ACGCUGGCGGCGUUGCUUACACAUGCAAGUCGAACGAACCUUCGGGUUAGUGGCGGACGGGUGAGUAACGCAAUCUGCCCUCAGGAGGGGGACAACAGUUGGAAACGACUGCUAAUACCCCAUAUGCCGCGAGGUGAAAUGAAUUUCGCCUGAGGAUGAGCUCGCGUCUGAUUAGCUAGUUUGGUGUAGGUAAUGGCUCACCAAGGCAUCGAUCAGUAGCUGGUCUGAGAGGAUGAUCAGCCACACUGGGACUGAGACACGGCCCAGACUCCUACGGGAGGCAGCAUCGUGGGGAAUUUUCCGCAAUGGGCGAAAGCCUGACGCGAGCAACGCCGCGUGAGUGGAUGAAGGCCUCUGGGCUGUAAACCUCUUUUAUCAAGGAAGAAGAUCUGACGGUACUUGAUGAAUAAGCCACGGGCUAAUUCCGUGCCAGCAGCCCGCGGUAAUACGGGAGUGGCAAGCCGUUAUCCGGAAUUAUUUGGCGCGUUAAAAGCGUCCGCAACGCGGGGCCCCUUCAAAGUCUCGCUGUUCCACAAAAGUUGGAGACUUUAACUCCCACU